ACACUGCUGAACGUUAUGAUAUCAUUGGAGACACACAAUGUGAGAUGGAAGAUUACAAGUCGACUGUAGAGUCAUAUCAACAUGCUCUUCAAAUCAGAUUAAAACUGUUUGGGGAAGAUCAUCCUGAUACAGCUAAAAGCUACGAAAACAUUAAACUCGUACAAGACCGUAUGAAAAAUGUUGUGAGCAUCAUAAUACCAGAAGAAAAGAAGUUGCCAGAUUGGAUGGAAUAUUUAUAAAGAACAUUUUCCAAAACUGCAACAAAACAUGGAAUCACGAGGGCGUUAGCCAGCCCAAAAGCGUGGGGGGAUGGGCUGGGUUAUCUAAUCUUCGAAUACCCAGAACAGUUAGGUGUUGUGGCUAUGCGGGGGGCAUGAUUUCCAUGAAAAUGUUUCUAUUUUCGAGGUGUGUGAAAGGCUAUUUCAUGCAUGUUGAUCACGUUGUAUUAUAAUCUGAAAGCCACAGAUU